AUUGAACGCUGGCGGCAGGCUUAACACAUGCAAGUCGAGCGGGGUGAUGUAGCUUGCUACAUUACCUAGCGGCGGACGGGUGAGUAAUGCUUAGGAAUCUGCCUAUUAGUGGGGGACAACAUUCCGAAAGGAAUGCUAAUACCGCAUACGCCCUACGGGGGAAAGCAGGGGAUCUUCGGACCUUGCGCUAAUAGAUGAGCCUAAGUCAGAUUAGCUAGUUGGUGGGGUAAAGGCCUACCAAGGCGACGAUCUGUAGCGGGUCUGAGAGGAUGAUCCGCCACACUGGGACUGAGACACGGCCCAGACUCCUACGGGAGGCAGCAGUGGGGAAUAUUGGACAAUGGGCGAAAGCCUGAUCCAGCCAUGCCGCGUGUGUGAAGAAGGCCUUUUGGUUGUAAAGCACUUUAAGCGAGGAGGAGGCUACCGAGAUUAAUACUCUUGGAUAGUGGACGUUACUCGCAGAAUAAGCACCGGCUAACUCUGUGCCAGCCGCCGCCGUAAUAC
rnacentral:rRNA from 1 species